rnacentral:rRNA from 1 species
CCUACGGGAGGCAGCAGUGAGGAAUAUUGGUCAAUGGACGAGAGUCUGAACCAGCCAAGUAGCGUGAAGGAUGACUGCCCUAUGGGUUGUAAACUUCUUUUAUAUGGGAAUAAAAUGUUCCACGUGUGGGAUUUUGUAUGUACCAUAUGAAUAAGGAUCGGCUAACUCCGUGCCAGCAGCCGCGGUAAUACGGAGGAUCCGAGCGUUAUCCGGAUUUAUUGGGUUUAAAGGGAGCGUAGGUGGAUUGUUAAGUCAGUUGUGAAAGUUUGCGGCUCAACUGUAAAAUUGCAGUUGAAACUGGCAGUCUUGAGUACAGUAGAGGUGGGCGGAAUUCGUGGUGUAGCGGUGAAAUGCUUAGAUAUCACGAAGAACUCCGAUUGCGAAGGCAGUUCACUGGACUGCAACUGACACUGAGGCUCGAAAGUGUGGGUAUCAAACAGGAUUAGAUACCCGAGUAGUC